rnacentral:rRNA from 1 species
CACAGGUGCUGCAUGGCUGUCGUCAGCUCGUGUCGUGAGAUGUUCGGUUAAGUCCGCUAACGAGCGCAACCCUCGCUGUGUGUUAUAUGUGUCACACGGGACUGCCGGUCUUAAGCCGGAGGAAGGUGGGGAUGAUGUCAAGUCAGCAUGGCCUUUAUAUCCUGGGCUACACACACGCUACAAUGGCCAACACAAUAGGUUGCUAAGCCGCGAGGUGGCGCCAAUCCAUAAAGUUGGUCUCAGUUCAGAUUGUAGGCUGCAACCCGCCUGCAUGAAGUUGGAGUUGCUAGUAACCGCAGGUCAGCUAUACUGCGGUGAAUACGUUCCCGGGGAUU